rnacentral:rRNA from 1 species
GACGAACGCUGGCGGCGUGCUUAACACAUGCAAGUCGAACGGUAAGGCCCUUCGGGGUACACGAGUGGCGAACGGGUGAGUAACACGUGGGUGAUCUGCCCUGCACUUCGGGAUAAGCCUGGGAAACUGGGUCUAAUACCGGAUAGGACCCUGGGAUGCAUGUCCUGGGGUGGAAAGCUUUUGCGGUGUGGGAUGGGCCCGCGGCCUAUCAGCUGGUGGGUGGGGUGAUGGCCUACCAAGGCGACGACGGGUAGCCGGCCGGAGAGGGUGACCGGCGACACUGUGACUGAGAUACGGCCCAUGCUCCUACGGGAUGCAGCAGUGGGGAAUAUUGCACAAUGGGCGCAAGCCUGAUGCAGCGACGCCGCGUGAGGGAUGACGGGCUUCGGGUUGUAAACCCCUUUCAGCACCGACGAAGCGCAAGUGACGGUAGGUGCAGAAGAAGGACCGGCCAACUACGUGCCAGCCGCCGCCGUAA